GCUCAGGAUGAACGCUAGCGGCAGGCCUAAUACAUGCAAGUCGAACGAUAUUUUCCAGCUUGCUGGAAGAGAAAGUGGCGCACGGGUGCGUAACGCGUAUGCAACCUACCUUUAUCAGGGGGAUAGCCCGGAGAAAUCCGGAUUAAUACCGCAUAAAAUCACAGAAUAGCAUUAUUUAAUGAUCAAACAUUUAUGGGAUAAAGAUGGGCAUGCGUGUCAUUAGCUAGUUGGCGGGGUAACGGCCCACCAAGGCGACGAUGACUAGGGGAUCUGAGAGGAUGACCCCCCACACUGGUACUGAGACACGGACCAGACUCCUACGGGAGGCAGCAGUAAGGAAUAUUGGUCAAUGGAGGCAACUCUGAACCAGCCAUGCCGCGUGCAGGAAGACUGCCCUAUGGGUUGUAAACUGCUUUUAUCCGGGAAUAAACCUCUGCUCGUGAGCAGAGCUGAAUGUACCGGAAGAAUAAGGAUCGGCUAACUCCGUGCCAGCAGCCGCGGUAAUACGGAGGAUCCAAGCGUUAUCCGGAUUUAUUGGGUUUAAAGGGUGCGUAGGCGGCCUGUUAAGUCAGGGGUGAAAGACGGUAGCUCAACUAUCGCAGUGCCCUUGAUACUGAUGGGCUUGAAUGGACUAGAGGUAGGCGGAAUGAGACAAGUAGCGGUGAAAUGCAUAGAUAUGUCUCAGAACACCGAUUGCGAAGGCAGCUUACUAUGGUCUUAUUGACGCUGAGGCACGAAAGCGUGGGGAUCAAACAGGAUUAGAUACCCUGGUAGUCCACGCCCUAAACGAUGAACACUCGCUGUUGGCGAUACACAGUCAGCGGCUAAGCGAAAGCGUUAAGUGUUCCACCUGGGGAGUACGCCCGCAAGGGUGAAACUCAAAGGAAUUGACGGGGGCCCGCACAAGCGGAGGAGCAUGUGGUUUAAUUCGAUGAUACGCGAGGAACCUUACCCGGGCUUGAAAGUUAGUGAAUGAUCUAGAGAUAGAUCAGUGAGCAAUCACACGAAACUAGGUGCUGCAUGGCUGUCGUCAGCUCGUGCCGUGAGGUGUUGGGUUAAGUCCCGCAACGAGCGCAACCCCUAUGUUUAGUUGCCAGCAUGUAAAGGUGGGGACUCUAAACAGACUGCCUGUGCAAACAGAGAGGAAGGAGGGGACGACGUCAAGUCAUCAUGGCCCUUACGUCCGGGGCUACACACGUGCUACAAUGGACGGUACAGAGGGCAGCUACAUAGCAAUAUGAUGCGAAUCUCACAAAGCCGUUCACAGUUCGGAUUGGGGUCUGCAACUCGACCCCAUGAAGUUGGAUUCGCUAGUAAUCGCGUAUCAGCAAUGACGCGGUGAAUACGUUCCCGGGCCUUGUACACACCGCCCGUCAAGCCAUGGAAGUUGGGGGUACCUAAAGUAUGUAACCGCAAGGAGCGUCCUAGGGUAAAACCGAUAACUGGGCU
rnacentral:rRNA from 1 species